AGAGAGAGAGAGAGACAGAUUCGAGAGGAGCUACCCACGAUCGCUGCCGUCGAAGCCAGGCUCGUCGCCGUCACCACCCACGAAGCUGCGAGGAGCCGCUGUCGUGCUCGUGUCGCUGUGCGCCGUCGAGCUUCCCUCACCCUGAGCUGUCGAUCUGUCGCCACCGCUACAAGGGCUUGUCGCUGGAGCCACGACUGUCACUGAGCUUCCGUCGCCGCAGCCGUUCAAAC
rnacentral:lncRNA from 1 species